GCUGGGAUGGCGUAGUGGGUAGCAUGUCUGCCUAGUGAGCAGGAGACCCGUGUUCGAAUCACGGUCUUGGUA